CACUGUUAAACGAUUCUGAAAUGGCUGCAACUUAGUGGCAAUUGGGGGAAGGGUGACAUCCGCUAUUGCUUGCAAUGGCAAUUCUAGUUAUUAUCAUUUUUCUUCCACCUAAUUUUGUCCGGCAGUUUUCUCAGAGCCAAAGGAACCAAUCUGAAUGAUAGUGCACUAUAACAAGGAACCCUGACUUUCCUGUUGCUUUCCGGUAUUGGAACUAAAAAAAUGGCUGCCAUCACCAUGGAAACGAAAAAAUGGUGAAAAAAUAUAAUUUUAGAGUUAAGGGAAUUGUUUGAG
rnacentral:lncRNA from 1 species